UACGAAGGGGGCUAGCGUUGUUCGGAAUUACUGGGCGUAAAGCGCACGUAGGCGGAUUUGUAAGUCAGGGGUGAAAUCCCGGGGCUCAACCUCGGAACUGCCUUUGAUACUGCAAGUCUCGAGUCCGAUAGAGGUGAGUGGAAUUCCUAGUGUAGAGGUGAAAUUCGUAGAUAUUCGGAAGAACACCAGUGGCGAAGGCGACUUACUGGACACAUACUGACGCUGAGGUGCGAAAGCGUGGGGAGCAAACAGG
rnacentral:rRNA from 1 species